CACUCCUGCGGGAGGCAGCAGUGGGGAAUUUUGGACAAUGGGCGAAAGCCUGAUCCAGCAAUGCCGCGUGAGUGAAGAAGGCCUUCGGGUUGUAAAGCUCUUUUGUCAGGGAAGAAACGGUGAGAGCUAAUAUCUUUUGCUAAUGACGGUACCUGAAGAAUAAGCACCGGCUAACUACGUGCCAGCAGCCGCGGUAAUACGUAGGGUGCAAGCGUUAAUCGGAAUUACUGGGCGUAAAGCGUGCGCAGGCGGUUUUGUAAGUCUGAUGUGAAAUCCCCGGGCUCAACCUGGGAAUUGCAUUGGAGACUGCAAGGCUAGAAUCUGGCAGAGGGGGGUAGAAUUCCACGUGUAGCAGUGAAAUGCGUAGAUAUGUGGAGGAACACCGAUGGCGAAGGCAGCCCCCUGGGUCAAGAUUGACGCUCAUGCACGAAAGCGUGGGGAGCAAACAGGAUUAGAAACCCGAGUAGUCCCAUGA
rnacentral:rRNA from 1 species